UCUCUACGUAUGGACCCCACACGCCCCCGUUCCACCAAUUACAUCCAUGGGUAUGACGUAUGGCCACAAAUAAAAGCUAAUAGAAGGCUUCUAUUUGGUUUUAGUUGCCUUCCCACACACGCCACCGGAGAAGGAAUACAGGGGGUGAUGGGACCCGCCUCUGGUUCUUGUUUUGAGCCGCGGGGUUCCUUCGCCGUAACACCUUUUCCUUUUAAUGUCAUCGCAUGAUUACAGUUGUCGGCAGGAGGAUGGCUUUCCCGCGGCUCUCGUGACGGGACAGGCUGUGCUGCCGGAGCUCUUUAUUGUGUGUCGUCGUCGCCAUUACCGGUUUCGGAAACUGUGGGUAGCUGACAGCUCCCCAGAUUUAAGAGCCGAGCUGCCAAUGGACGGACGAGGGAGAGCUGAGAGUGAAUAGAGUGGCCAGCGCUCUCAUGAUGACCACUCUGACAGUCACGCGCCGCUACGUUCCCCCGCGGAUAAUAGAAACAAAGACAGACAGAAAAAGAAGGGACAUGGGGAGUUGCUCCCUCUGACCCACCUCUUCAUGGAGCUCUCUGACCCAGCUCCAGCUCAGUGUUCUCCAUGACUGACUAAGUGGCCCAGUUGAUCCCCCAGAAAGAAGUGUUCGUGCUCGUGUUCUAAUCUUUGUCAAACGUCAAGCUUGAACUCAAACACUACUGCUUCCUUCAGUCUUCGGCGUACACCCACGUACGUACGAUGCAAUAGAGUACAAAUGUCAACAAACAAAGAGUCGUAGAAGCAUUUGUUUUGCUUCGAUUGAACGCGCAACGAGGGAUCCUCUCGCGCCCAUUGCAGCCUAAUUCCGGUGGUACAGCGAUCGACGUCGUCAAUAAUAUGACAGACGUCCGCUGACGCACCAAGUCAAUCGUCUCACCGAUGUCGGCAACUCCGGAUGAUGGGAUACGGCAUGUGAUCUGGUCGGCGUCCGGCGUUACACGGAAUCCGAUCGAGAGCUAAUCCCGGAUAAGGAAUACCGUGGCAGACACUAUUAGUACUGUCAUUAUCCAACAAAACUGCCGCAUCCUUGUGUACGUGACAUUUCAGAGAUGAUGAUGAAUGGUUCAGCAUAGUGUAAGGUACUCACGGGAGCAGCUGACCUUUCCACACGUACUUAUAACAUCCAGAAGCAGCCAACGCCUGUUUGAUACACGGUGAAGGCAGAGAGAAUCGAAAGAGAUGAAACGAGGCAGAGCAGAGGCCGGGCUGCCGUCCUCCAAGGAAGCCGCCGAGUUCCCUGCCAAGGCCCAGCGGCGUCAGAAGGGGUCGACGCCCAAGGGAUCGGCUUCGGCGGGGAGGACGAGGCAGGCGGUGAAGCCGGAUCAUGCGCGCAAGGGCAGAGGAAACGACAAGGGCCCGGCUGCUGCUCCGGCGGCCGACCUGCAGCAGUCUUCUACUGCUCCCGUUGCGCCCGCGGAGGAGGAAGUGGUGGGGUGGGUGGACGGGGCGGCGGAGCUGGGGGAUUGGUGGUGGGGCCUGUGGGGCGUGGAGGAGGACAAGCUCUCCGGCUGGUUCCCGUUUGUGGACGAAGACUUCCUCUGCUCCGAGGCCAGGGGAGGAGAGUUGUCCGGUGGACUGCUCUGGGAAGAAGCUUACCACGACAUCUGGCAGCUGCAACACAUUUACGAAAUCCCGCAGGCGGCAUCCAAUUGACGAAGGUCUAACCGCGGCUAUCUCGUUCUUGCUUUUCUUUUAGGGUAGAGGAAUCGAAUGGGAAAUAGAGAACGAGACAGAUUAGAAGGAAGGGAGUGAAGGAACAACGAAAGCAGCAAGAAAUGCAGAAAAAUUGCAUCUUUGGAAGCGGGUUUUUGUUGAUCUGUUGGUCUUAAUUUUUUGUUUUGCUAGUUGGUUUGUACAAAUGGUGUCUGCUGAAGGAAAGCUGCUGCUUACUGAUGCAUCA